GAUGAACGCUGGCGGCGUGCCUAAUACAUGCAAGUCGAGCGAACAGACAAGGAGCUUGCUCCUUUGACGUUAGCGGCGGACGGGUGAGUAACACGUGGGUAACCUACCUAUAAGACUGGGAUAACUUCGGGAAACCGGAGCUAAUACCGGAUAAUAUUUCGAACCGCAUGGUUCGAUAGUGAAAGAUGGUUUUGCUAUCACUUAUAGAUGGACCCGCGCCGUAUUAGCUAGUUGGUAAGGUAACGGCUUACCAAGGCGACGAUACGUAGCCGACCUGAGAGGGUGAUCGGCCACACUGGAACUGAGACACGGUCCAGACUCCUACGGGAGGCAGCAGUAGGGAAUCUUCCGCAAUGGGCGAAAGCCUGACGGAGCAACGCCGCGUGAGUGAUGAAGGUCUUCGGAUCGUAAAACUCUGUUAUUAGGGAAGAACAUACGUGUAAGUAACUAUGCACGUCUUGACGGUACCUAAUCAGAAAGCCACGGCUAACUACGUGCCAGCAGCCGCGGUAAUACGUAGGUGGCAAGCGUUAUCCGGAAUUAUUGGGCGUAAAGCGCGCGUAGCGGUUUUUUAAGUCUGAUGUGAAAGCCCACGGCUCAACCGUGGAGGGUCAUUGGAAACUGUAAAACUUGAGUGCAGAAGAGGAAAGUGGAAUUCCAUGUGUAGCGGUGAAAUGCGCAGAGAUAUGGAGGAACACCAGUGGCGAAGGCGACUUUCUGGUCUGUAACUGACGCUGAUGUGCGAAAGCGUGGGGAUCAAACAGGAUUAGAUACCCUGGUAGUCCACGCCGUAAACGAUGAGUGCUAAGUGUUAGGGGGUUUCCGCCCCUUAGUGCUGCAGCUAACGCAUUAAGCACUCCGCCUGGGGAGUACGACCGCAAGGUUGAAACUCAAAGGAAUUGACGGGGACCCGCACAAGCGGUGGAGCAUGUGGUUUAAUUCGAAGCAACGCGAAGAACCUUACCAAAUCUUGACAUCCUUUGACAACUCUAGAGAUAGAGCCUUCCCCUUCGGGGGACAAAGUGACAGGUGGUGCAUGGUUGUCGUCAGCUCGUGUCGUGAGAUGUUGGGUUAAGUCCCGCAACGAGCGCAACCCUUAAGCUUAGUUGCCAUCAUUAAGUUGGGCACUCUAAGUUGACUGCCGGUGACAAACCGGAGGAAGGUGGGGAUGACGUCAAAUCAUCAUGCCCCUUAUGAUUUGGGCUACACACGUGCUACAAUGGACAAUACAAAGGGCAGCGAAACCGCGAGGUCAAGCAAAUCCCAUAAAGUUGUUCUCAGUUCGGAUUGUAGUCUGCAACUCGACUACAUGAAGCUGGAAUCGCUAGUAAUCGUAGAUCAGCAUGCUACGGUGAAUACGUUCCCGGGUCU
rnacentral:rRNA from 1 species